UCCACGCCGGCCUUUCCUGGCGAGAUUUUUCUCCUGCUGGGAGCGCCUGGCUGAUGGCGGGUCCUGCCCGGCAGCCGAGGCUGAGUGUGGUGGCACAGAAAUGAGGCUUGUCUGCAGAGCUCUGGAGCUUGUGGAGAGAGAGCAAAUCUGGACGUUGAAAGCAGUUUGUUUUCCCUGUGCAGGACUAACAGAUUUCAGCAGGUGAGGUUGGCAGCAGAUGGGUCCAUCUCUGGGACACUCUUUUGUGGGUUUUCCCAUCAGCCAUCUCUUCAACCUGUUCAUCACAUUCAAAAGUUUCUGAGGACCAGGAAUUCCUGAGCUCUUUCGAGGCAACCCAAGAGCAAGAAUGGGCUUCAGCAAAGGAGACAGAAGGAUGAGAGUUGGAAGAAAUACACGGGCAAAAUAAAAUCCUGUAGGAACGAAGCAGGAGGUAGAAAACGAACCAACAGAUCAGUGCUUCACAUCUUCCUACAAGCAGCCUCUGGGGGACCAGAUACUAUAGGUCUGGAACAAGAUCAUUCUAAUGUGUGUUGAUUUCAUGCAACACUUCAAAAAGACUGAAGGUAUUUAUAGAAUGACCUGAAAGAAAGAGACUUCUCCUUCGUGGAAUAUGCGCCUACUGCAUGACCAUACUUCCAGACCUAUGUACAAAGCUAUUACAUUUUUUUUGUUCCCCCCCUGUGUUAUAAAGUAUUACUAAAAAAAACCAGUAAAAUAACCCUAGUGAGCAGGUGCAACCUAUUCACAUUGCAUAUCCUGCAUAUACUUCAAGAAGAGUAUGCAGUGGGUUACCUUCUGUUUUUAUAGUGAAAACUAAAAUUGCUUUCAGCCUAUAAGGUGACUAUAUAUGAAAACAAUAUCCCAAAAGACACAUAUUUUCAGAUAGUUGGGGAAAGUAUGCUUAAGCACUGUCUGAAUAGUAAGGACAAGGAUGUUCAAAGUGCCAAUUGUUGCCCUAGUUUUUGAAGUCGGUAAGAGUAGUAUCAAGCUUUUGAGAAUACACAUACUAAAAAGCAGAUUUUGUUUUUAAUGUUAAACUAGGUAUUUAAAGAUAAUAAAGAGCCUACAGAUUGCUUACCUCUAUUUUUGGCAUGAUCCAUUUACAGGUCAGUGCAAAGCAAACAUGAUAACUACGUCAUAUAACAAAAACAGUCUCCAAAAGCAGAAGUGACUAUCCUCGCUCCCCUUUCAUUUAAAAAGCUGUUUCUCAUAUAAAGCUAUUAGGGCCACUUUAAUUCAUGCAGUUGAUUUUUCUUUCCAGUUCAGAAGCCAAGAGGGAAAAAAUGUCCUCAGCUCAACCCCUUAUAUGAAGCAGGCAGAUUUAGCAUUUCUUGAUCUGAGAAAGUACUAAUGCAAAUGCCUAAGAUUAAACAUGGUUAUGUGCUUUUCUGAAUUAGAAGCUGUGUCAGGAUGCUUAUUUAGCUACAUUUCUGAUACUAAAAAUCUUCCCAUGUUGGCUGACCUAAUACAGAGCCUGACAUUGUUUUAAAUGUUCCUUUUACUUUAUACAUUUUGGGCAUAUUACAUAGGAUAUGUAAAUAUUUAUAUGAGAGACAUAAAUUAGCUAAUAAACAUUGCCUGCUUCAAUUCUCAAAUUAUUUUUGUUAUACUCAUUUUGGUAAGAUUCUGACUGUGACUGAGUCCAGAAGACACUUUCUAGAUACAGUGAUACAAAAACACUGAACACCUCAUAUUUGUGGAUAGAUGAGCAAAGGAAGAUUCUCAUAAGAUAUAUAAGAAACUAGUAAAUGCUGGUGUAAAAUUGAGUUAUUGGAACAUAUGCCACCCUGUGCUAAUGUUGCUUUGUGUCACUCCAGCAUAGAAGCAGGCAAUGCUUACAUAAUUCAGGUAUUAAAUAUCUUGGUACCUCCAUCAUAGCUGGCUCAUGGGCGGAUAAAUGCGCAGCUUGAACACAAAUAAGCAAAGCCAAGGAGCUUAUAUUAUUUUAAAUCUUAGGUUUCCUGGAUAGCCAGUUGCACCUGACAAAUUGCAAAUGUUCUGUGCUCGUAUCUUCUGCUUAAAUCCUAAGAAUAGGGAAAAUGUGAAAGCCCACUAGGACACAGUGUAGCAUAAAGCUGCCAGAGCUAGCUUAAAUGAAUUAUUUUGGGUACUGGCAACAGUCAAGCUGUGAUAGCAGAGAGCUAACUCUGCAUAAGAAGUUUAUUCUGCUGCAUGGGCAAGUUUAGCAGCCUGUCCUGAACUCCAUGCUGUUAUUGUGAGAUAGUUGCAACACAGUGUCUUGCAUAAUACCUGUCAUGCAAAAUGUGUCCAGCAGAGCAGAGGCACGUGGCAAAAAGCGGUUAACUGUGCUGGAGCUAAACUGCACUAUAAUACGUGCAAAAUAUUCUAAUGAUUUUUGUCUAUUCAUGAAAUGACUUCACUCUUACCCAGAACUUUCCCAGGUGAAAUGUGACUGGUCUCAAGAUGCAUCCUCUCUUUCUCAAGAAAGAAAAUAUUCACAGGACAUGAAAGAAAUGAAGUCUUCCUAAGGAUGGCUACUUCACUCUUUUUAAUGGGACAUGUGUGCAAAUGGAAGUCUCCAAACACCUACAAUUAUUGCAAGACUCUUAAAUGAAGUGAACAACUUCUGCUGCUUCUACUAGCUGCAAAACAUGCAAGUCUCUCUGUCUUAGGUUUUAGUUCCAGUCACAGAGAACAUCUUCCCUGUCCUCCAGGCCUAUGGUGGCUUGCCACUGCAUCUCAGGGAGGUAGCUAAUGUGUCAAAACAUGCUAACUUUCUUAUCAGGUGGGCAAGGAACAACUGUCCAGCUAUAAAGGAAUGUGAAAACAUGAUAGUAAUUUCAGUGAGCAGACAAAAUAUAGGAAAACCCCACAAAUUUGGAGAAUGUUUGUGAAAGAACAGCAGGGAGACAGACUGAUGGCUCUCAAUUUUCAAUACAAUAAAACUAAGAGUGAAAAGAUAAGCUAAAACACCUGUAUUCGCAAAUUAGUGAUUAUAACCCAAGAUAAGAGAUCUGUAUGGAAACAGAGAUAACUGUCUUGUUACCACCACAAAAUAAAAUUAAUGUAAUAUUCAUAUUCCUGUUAUCUUUCCAAAAGUUUGCUGAUUUGUAAAUGCUACAAUCUUAGCCACACAAAACUAGAGAAUUACCUUAAGUGGGAGAGAGAAUCAUAUUACUCCAUAUCACACAUAAUACUUAAGCAUUAAAAUUGCCUAUUUACAAGAACAACAGCUUAGAGAGUAAGUGGGAAGGUAAGUACUGGUAGACAGACACAGGAAAAAAAAUAAUAAAAAAAUUAAAAAGAAAAUUAAGAAAGAGACAUACAAGCACUGUAUAAUCCCUCAAAGCCCUACUUGGUACUGUAUCACAUCAUUUUGUAUAACACGUUUUUUCAUAACUUUGCCCAGCACACCAUGUGAUGAGACCUGAGAUAAGGUGGAUACUGAAAGGGUGGAAGGCUGCAUAGUGGCUCUCCUAAGCCUUUGGCAUUGUAGAAGAACUUGCAGAUGUUACAGAGGUAUCUUCUGCCCUGAGCAGUGACAGUACUAUGGCUGGACUGAAGAAAGUCGGAAUCCAUAAAAUUGGCAAUUUUUUUUUGAAGGU